AGCGAACGCUGGCGGCGGGCUUAACACAUGCAAGUAGAGCGGGGAAUUCGGUGUCAGCGGCAGACGGGAGGGUAACACGUGGGAACGUACACUUUGGUUUGGCAUAACGUUGGGCGACUGGUGAUAAUACCGGAUACGCCCUUUUAGGGCAAGGCUUGCUGGCGAAGGAUCGGUUUACGUCUUAUUAGCAAGUUGGCGAGGUAAUGGUCUACCAAGGCGACGUUAAGUAGCUGGUCUGAUAGGAUGACCCGUCACCCUGGGAAAGGGACACGGCGCAGACUCCUGCGGGAGGCAGCAAUGGUGAAUAUUGAACGAUGGGCGCGAGCCGGAGCCUGCCGUGCCGCGUAGGUGUUGAAGGCCUUAGGAUUGUAAGUCUCUGUUGUCCGGGACGAUAAUGACGGUACCGUAAGAAUAAGCGCCGGCUAACUUCGUG
rnacentral:rRNA from 1 species